rnacentral:misc_RNA from 1 species
GUUCUUCCCUGCACUCACAGUUCUUCAAAUAUUCAGACAGAUUUGUGCAGGACUGAAACACAUGCACAGUUUUGAUCCUCCAUAUGCUCAUAAUGAUGUGAAGCCUGGUAAUGUUCUCUUAACACAUAGAAAGGGACAACCACCUCUUGCAAUUCUGAUGGAUUUCGGAAGUGCUCGACCUGCAAGAAGAGAGAUUCAUUCUCGUUCAGAAGCAUUACAAUUGCAGGAAUGGGC